rnacentral:rRNA from 1 species
CCUUUCCCGUCUAANUGGGAAAGGUUUUCGAACAUCUGCGCUCUUAACCCUGACGCGGGACGNNUAUCUCCCCUCGGAGCUNNGUAAUACCUUGGAAUCCGGAGGGACCCCGAAGGGGAAGGCCAUUCUUUGGCACGUUUCUACCGUUCACGGGCGAAACUNNGGGGGGGGACAGGAUUAGAUACCCUGUAAUUCCUACCCUUAACGAUCACCACUAGGCUGGGGGGGGAUCGACCCCUUCCGUCCNGCAGCUUACGCAUAAAGUGCUCCGCCUGGGGAAUUCCUUCGCCAGAUUAAAACUCAAAGGAAUUGACGGGGACCUGCACAAGCAGCGGAGCGUGUGGUUUAAUUCGAUGCAACGNGAAGAACCUUACCAAGGCUUGACAUGCAAUUGCACCACCCGUAAUGGGGUGUCCUUUCGGGGCGGUUGCACAGGUGCUGCAUGGCUGUCGUCAGCUCGUGUCGUGAGAUGUUGGGUUCAGUCCCGCAACGAGCGCAACCCCUGCCGCUAGUUAGUCUGUCUAGCGGGACCGCCGCGAUCAACGCGGAGGAAGGCGGGGAUGACGUCAAGUCAGCACGGCCCUUACGUCUUGGGCUACACACACGCUACAAUGGUCGGUACAACGGGUUGCCAACCCGCGAGGGGGAGCCAAUCCCAACAAAACCGGCCUCAGUUCAGAUUGCAGGCUGCAACCCGCCUGCAUGAAGGAGGAGUUGCUAGUAACCGUGGGUCAGCACACUACGGUGAAUACGUUCCCGGGUCUUGUACACACCGCCCGUCACACCACGAAAGUCGGCAACACCUGAAGCCGCUGAGCCAACCGCAAGGGAGCAGGCGUCGAGGGUGGGGUCGGUGAUUGGGGUGAAGUCGUAACAAGGUAA